rnacentral:rRNA from 1 species
UACGUAGGGUGCGAGCGUUAAUCGGAAUUACUGGGCGUAAAGCGUGCGCAGGCGGUUUUGUAAGCCAGAUGUGAAAUCCCCGGGCUUAACCUGGGAAUGGCAUUUGGGACUGCAAGGCUCGAGUGCGGCAGUGGAGACUGGAAUUCCUGGUGUAGCAGUGAAAUGCGUAGAUAUCAGGAGGAACACCGAUGGCGAAGGCAGCUUCCUGGCCCAAUUCUGACGCUGAGGUGCGAAAGCGUGGGUAGCGAACGGG